GAUGAACGCUGGCGGCGUGCUUAACACAUGCAAGUCGAACGGAAAGGCCCAAGCUUGCUUGGGUACUCGGGUGGCGAACGGGUGAGUAACACGUGGGUGAUCUGCCCUGCACUUCGGGAUAAGCCUGGGAAACUGGGUCUAAUACUGGAUAGGACCACUUCUUGGAUGUUGUGGUGGAAAGUUUUUUCGGUGUGGGAUGAGCUCGCGGCCUAUCAGCUUGUUGGUGGGGUAAUGGCCUACCAAGGCGUCGACGGGUAGCCGGCCUGAGAGGGUGUACGGCCACAUUGGGACUGAGAUACGGCCCAGACUCCUACGGGAGGCAGCAGUGGGGAAUAUUGCACAAUGGGCGCAAGCCUGAUGCAGCGACGCCGCGUGGGGGAUGACGGCCUUCGGGUUGUAAACUCCUUUCGCUAGGGACGAAGCGUUUUGUGACGGUACCUGGAGAAGAAGCACCGGCUAACUACGUG
rnacentral:rRNA from 1 species